rnacentral:rRNA from 1 species
GACGAACGCUGGCGGCGUGCUUAACACAUGCAAGUCGAACGCUGAAGCUCAGCUUUUGUUGGGUGGAUGAGUGGCGAACGGGUGAGUAACACGUGAGUAACCUGCCCCCUUCUUUGGGAUAACGCCCGGAAACGGGUGCUAAUACUGGAUAUUCACUGGUCUUCGCAUGGGGGUUGGUGGAAAGGGUUUUUCUGGUGGGGGAUGGGCUCGCGGCCUAUCAGCUUGUUGGUGGGGUGAUGGCCUACCAAGGCUUUGACGGGUAGCCGGCCUGAGAGUGUGACCGGUCACAUUGGGACUGAGAUACGGCCCAGACUCCUACGGGAGGCAGCAGUGGGGAAUAUUGCACAAUGGGCGCAAGCCUGAUGCAGCGACGCCGCGUGAGGGAUGGAGGCCUUCGGGUUGUGAACCUCUUUCGCUCAUGGUCAAGCCGCAACAAUGGUUGUGGUGAGGGUAGUGGGUAAAGAAGCGCCGGCUAACUACGUG